GGGUUACUCCUGCGCUUGCGCGCUGUUUUGAAUAAAGAUUCGCACCUCUAUCAAAACGGGUAACCCCACCUACUGGCAAGGCCUACUGUCAGAUCAAGUCUGAACUUCUACACGUUAGGCACCCCUGCCAAUUGUUUUGUUUUUUAGUUGGCGCGUUGUUGUGGCAGUUUGUGUUG
rnacentral:sRNA from 1 species